rnacentral:rRNA from 1 species
GCAGUCGAAACGACUUCCGUUAUUGAUUAUGACGUACUUGUACUGAUUGAGAUUUUAACACGAAGUGAGUGGCGAACGGGUGAGUAACACGUGGGUAACCUGCCCAGAAGUAGGGGAUAACACCUGGAAACAGAUGCUAAUACCGUAUAACAGAGAAAACCGCAUGGUUUUCUUUUAAAAGAUGGCUCUGCUAUCACUUCUGGAUGGACCCGCGGCGUAUUAGCUAGUUGGUGAGGUAAAGGCUCACCAAGGCAGUGAUACGUAGCCGACCUGAGAGGGUAAUCGGCCACAUUGGGACUGAGACACGGCCCAGACUCCUACGGGAGGCAGCAGUAGGGAAUCUUCCACAAUGGACGCAAGUCUGAUGGAGCAACGCCGCGUGAGUGAAGAAGGGUUUCGGCUCGUAAAGCUCUGUUGUUAAAGAAGAACGUGGGUAAGAGUAACUGUUUACCCAGUGACGGUAUUUAACCAGAAAGCCACGGCUAACUACGUGCCAGCAGCCGCGGUAAUACGUAGGUGGCAAGCGUUAUCCGGAUUUAUUGGGCGUAAAGCGAGCGCAGGCGGUCUUUUAAGUCUAAUGUGAAAGCCUUCGGCUCAACCGAAGAAGUGCAUUGGAAACUGGGAGACUUGAGUGCAGAAGAGGACAGUGGAACUCCAUGUGUAGCGGUGAAAUGCGUAGAUAUAUGGAAGAACACCAGUGGCGAAGGCGGCUGUCUGGUCUGCAACUGACGCUGAGGCUCGAAAGCAUGGGUAGCGAACAGGAUUAGAUACCCUGGUAGUCCAUGCCGUAAACGAUGAUUACUAAGUGUUGGAGGGUUUCCGCCCUUCAGUGCUGCAGCUAACGCAUUAAGUAAUCCGCCUGGGGAGUACGACCGCAAGGUUGAAACUCAAAAGAAUUGACGGGGGCCCGCACAAGCGGUGGAGCAUGUGGUUUAAUUCGAAGCUACGCGAAGAACCUUACCAGGUCUUGACAUCUUCUGACAGUCUAAGAGAUUAGAGGUUCCCUUCGGGGACAGAAUGACAGGUGGUGCAUGGUUGUCGUCAGCUCGUGUCGUGAGAUGUUGGGUUAAGUCCCGCAACGAGCGCAACCCUUAUUACUAGUUGCCAGCAUUAAGUUGGGCACUCUAGUGAGACUGCCGGUGACAAACCGGAGGAAGGUGGGGACGACGUCAAAUCAUCAUGCCCCUUAUGACCUGGGCUACACACGUGCUACAAUGGAUGGUACAACGAGUCGCGAGACCGCGAGGUUAAGCUAAUCUCUUAAAACCAUUCUCAGUUCGGACUGUAGGCUGCAACUCGCCUACACGAAGUCGGAAUCGCUAGUAAUCGCGGAUCAGCAUGCCGCGGUGAAUACGUUCCCGGGCCUUGUACACACCGCCCGUCACACCAUGAGAGUUUGUAACACCCAAAGCCGGUGG